CCUACGGGAGGCUGCAGUCGAGAAUCAUUCACAAUGGGGGAAACCCUGAUGGUGCGACGCCGCGUGGGGGAAUGAAGGUCUUCGGAUUGUAAACCCCUGUCAUGUGGGAGCAAAUUAAAAAGAUAGUACCACAAGAGUAAGAGACGGCUAACUCUGUGCCAGCAGCCGCGGUAAUACAGAGGUAUCAAGCGUUGUUCGGAAUCACUGGGCGUAAGGCGUGCGUAGGCUGUUUCGUAAGUCGUGUGUGAAAGGCGCGGGCUCAACCCGCGGACGGCACAUGAGACUGCGAGACUAGAGUAAUGGAGGGGGAACCGGAAUUCUCGGUGUAGCAGUGAAAUGCGUAGAUAUCGAGAGGAACACUCGUGGCGAAGGCGGGUUCCUGGACAGUAACUGACGCUGAGGCACGAAGGCCAGGGGAGCGAAAGGGAUUAGAUACCCUAGUAGUC
rnacentral:rRNA from 1 species